GACGACGAUGCGUAGGGGUUCUGAGAGGAAGGUCCCCCACACUGGUACUGAGACACGGACCAGACUCCUACGGGAGGCAGCAGUGAGGAAUAUUGGUCAAUGGGCGGGAGCCUGAACCAGCCAAGUCGCGUGAGGGAUGACGGCCCUAUGGGUUGUAAACCUCUUUUGCCGGGGAGCAAAGUGCCGCACGUGUGCGGUUUGGAGAGUACCCGGAGAAAAAGCAUCGGCUAACUCCGUGCCAGCAGCCGCGGUAAUACGGAGGAUGCGAGCGUUAUCCGGAUUUAUUGGGUUUAAAGGGUGCGUAGGCGGACGCUUAAGUCAGCGGUAAAAUUGCGGGGCUCAACCUCGUCGAGCCGUUGAAACUGGGUGCCUUGAGUGGGCGAGAAGUACGCGGAAUGCGUGGUGUAGCGGUGAAAUGCAUAGAUAUCACGCAGAACUCCGAUUGCGAAGGCAGCGUACCGGCGCCCAACUGACGCUGAAGCACGAAGGCGUGGGUAUCGAACAGGAUUAGAUACCCUGGUAGUCCACGCAGUAAACGAUGAAUGCUAGUUGUCCGGGGCGAUUGAGUUCUGG
rnacentral:rRNA from 1 species